GGUGAGAACUAGUCUUAUAUUGUGCUAAGCCCUGUGAUUUCAGGGUUGAUCUGUUGGAGUAGCUAGAAUUUCCUUAACAGACACAACAAAUGACCCAUCUAGAAUAGUGUGUGGCACUUGAAAAGCACUCAGCAAAUGUCCUCUGUUAUGAUCGUCAUCAUCUUAAUUAACUAAACUUCUACUCUGUGCUAAGAAAUUUACAUGCCUCACCUUGAAUCCUCCCAGCAACUCUGAAAGCGUUACUAGUCACUCCAUUUCAUAGAUCAGGAAACUGAGAAGUUAAAUGAUUUACUUAAGGUCACAGAGCAGGUGGAGGAGUGGUAUUCUAAACCUUGGUUUAUAUGAUAUGGUUCCCCCAUUUCCAGCACCACCACUUCAUCCUCUCAAAGCUUGCUGGUGUGAUCUGUAUGCGGUUACGGAGGUAAAACCUUGGUAGGGAAGCCUGUAUACAUCGUCAGCUCAGCAUCUCACUUAUUUUCUUGUCAGAUUCCACAUCCCAACUCGCGCUGUAUUGUACAGUUCAAAGAAAGCAUUUCACAUCAAGAAAUGUCAUGGUUGCUAGAAAUAAUUUUGUCACAUCCUCUUGAAAUGCUCCUCUUUGCAAGUUCAGAGGUUUCAGUUAGAUUCAAAUCUUAUAGGUCCUCUUUUUAAAACAUUCUAAAAGGACAUCUCAUUUUUAAAACUCUUGAUGUCCAAAUAGAGUAGUUCAUUGUCUUCAUCUUAAAAGGUACAAAAUGGGAAGAUUCUGAAGAGGCAAUUUAUGAUGUGCAGGUACCUGAUUUUCUGGUAAUUGGAAACUGUUUUUGAUGCUAUGAAUUAGUUUUUGUGUUUUGCUAUCCACUUAUCAAAGGCAGUUGAGAUGAAUGUACAGGAAUUCCACAGGUUGGGUGUUAGUGGAGUCCCCACAUCCCGGGCACCAAAAGUUAACCCCAUGUAGUUCUUAAAGCCUUUAUCCUGGAUCUCAUUAUUUGUUAUGGGUAUCUUCCUCAUGGGUAUUCAAUACUCUCUCAAACUGAGUCAACAAAAUUUUGGAGAAUAUUUAGAGACAUUUCUGAUUUGGUUCUUCUCAAAGCACCUCAUUUAGUUAUUCACUCAACAAACACAGAGCACCUACUAUGUGCCCAGUGUUAUACUAGACCUUGAGGACUUUCCACUAGCCCUCUCCCCCAACUCUUAAAAAAUGGAGGUGGACAAAGGACCACACAGAGAGACAUCAUGGGUAGAAGAAAGCCUUGAGAUCAGAUAGUCUUAGGUUCAAAUUUCCUCCUUAGUACUUCUCAGGGAAAUAACUGAGUUUUGUUCAGAGCCUCGGUUUUCUCAUCUCUAGAGUGGACACAGUCAUACGUACCAGCAAUAUUGUUUGAGCAUCUGAGAUAUGUGAAACAUUCGAUCAUGGUGCAUGUUAAAGAAACUGGAUCUGUUAUUAACAGGAAGCAUUUGCUUGUCGUCGAUUGCUACUCACUGAAAACCAGCUUGGUUUUUGCCUUUCGUUUAUGUUAGGAUCCCCAGAAACAGAUCCCCAGAAACAGAUCCCAAGGCAAGGAUUCAUGUGCAAAGGGAUCCUAGGAGGAACUGGAAGGGAACGGUCAAGUCAGACACAAGGGGAAGUAACCAAACAAUUGCAAGGGCAAUUUCAGGGAGUGUCCACAGAGGGUAGGUCUGGUAGGCACUGCUCCUCAGAAUUUGCAACUACCCCAAGCACAGAAGCUGGGCUUUCACUCUUACAACCACCAAUCAUUAGCUAAAGGGGUGGCAACAUCAGGAACCCUGGUUCACCACAUGUGAGGGGAAAAUGGUACCAGUAGCCCCCCAAAAGGCAUCCAUGGAUGGUCUCCGGUGCUGGAAGUUAGAAUCAGAGGCACACAGAACCUGGAAGAGAGGUGCAUGGAAAUAGGAAAGGGGUAGGGGUUAUGAGAGCACCUGGGUGAAGCAUGGACCCUGGUGGUCAUAACUUUAUUUUCUGACUUCUGGAGGACAUUAGCCCUGGUCCAAUUAGCCCCAAUAAAUAAGAAGAAGUUUAGAGAAUUUACCCACCCAAAUUUGGCUAAUGGGAGGGCUUGGGGCCAAGCUUUGGGGUCAGCCUCGUUCAAGCAAAAAUCUCAGCCUAUCUUUUUACAGCCUGUGUGACUUUGGGCAACUGAUUUAGCCUCUGUGACUUUAAACUUCUCGUUUAUAAAUUGGGAAUAAUGAUAUACUUUGUAUAGGUUUGUUCUCGGCUGAGAUGUCUUUAUGUUUACUGGUUGAUCUGAUAAUAUACAUGCUGAGCAGCUGCAGUAUACACACUGUCAGCUCAGGGCUAAGCCUUGGUACCCUGAAAUGAAUCCAACACUAUCCUGCCCCAAGAUCUUGGCGCUGAGUGGAGGCGGCAGACAUACACACACAUCAAAGCCUCUGUCCUUCCUUGUACACUCUCCCUCUCUCUUCCCAUCUCCCUCUCUGUGUUUUAUUUUUUGAUCUUGUCUCUUCUUCUCUCCUUCCUUUGGCCCCAUUUCCUUCCUCCUUCAUUUCUUCUCUAUGUUUCUGUCUUGCAUCUUCCUACAGACCUAGUUUUUUUGUUUUUUGGUUUUCUUCUAUCAGCUGGACGAUAUCCAACCUUCCGCCCUGUGAACUUUCUGCCUCCUGCUGUUGUUUUCCAAGGGCCCUUCUGAAGGUUGCAGAGUCUGUGAAGUUCUGGGAAAUUUAAUUCAAUCCGGACCCAUAGGUGUGACAGAAGGUGACUUGGAGAUAACAGAAAACCAGCCAGAGCUUCAGUUAAAGCUUGGGUCUGGGGAGGGUAGAAGGGGAGGGAGUGCAACUAGCACCUCCACGUGGGAAACCCUGGGGACUUACAAAUAGAAUAUGUGGCUUAUUACUUUGGGGCGCUGCGGUGGGAGUCAGGGGAGGGUCUGGACAAAUGGUGAUUUCCCUGCUUUUUUGCAGAUGGGGAGUGUCUCCCAAGUGCCCUGCUUAUCCCAGUUAGGCAAUUCAUAGCUUUAAUUCUAGCUCUAACUAGCUGCAUGAUCUUUUUUGUUUUUAAAGUUUUUUUGAAGUAUGGUUGAUUUGCUAGGUUGUCAUGAUUUCUGCUGUAGCUGCAUGGCCUUGAAUGUUGUUUUCCUCAUCCAUGUGAUAUAGAAGCUCUGACCUUUUAGGACUGCUCUGGUCCUCUUGGCCGGAUAUUCUGCUUUCAAAAAUCUCUGAUCCUGAUUUUCCUUCUGGCACAGUGAGUUAAGGCUCCAGUGUUGUCAUUGCAGCGUGGGGAAAAAAAAAAAAAUCUCUGAUUUCUUCCCACAUUGUGCCUCAGUCUUGGAAUGUCACCCACGAGGUGUUCCUAUAACAACGAUUUUUUUUUUUCAUUCUAGGAUUCUGGAGGUUGAAUAACUUAGGUUUUGAGAAAGAUCUCAACCCAGGGCCCUGGAGACAAGACUCUGUAGGGUGGAACUCAGGUACCGUUGUACUGUGAUGUUCAGGGCAGCUGCUCUAGGAGGAGAGGGCUUGUAUAAGACAGUACUCAGCCUCAAAUAUCAUAAUUCAGUAGGUCUGGGGGCCCUGGAAACAGUAUUUUAAGAAACACAUCAGGAAUCCUCAUGUGGUAGUCGAUGGACCACAGUUUGAGAAUCACUUCUAGGCAUCUGGGCUUACCUCUGUCCCCAGUACUCCAGUGCAGUUAUGAAAGGUCUCUGAGCAUCUUUUCCUGUCUGCACUGUCUUCACCCCUGCCCUGUAUUCUGCAUGAUUUCUAUCAGGCACAGUUGAAAUGGCAAAUGAAAAAACUCUAAGAAUCAAAGAUGGUGGCUUUCCUGUGUGACAUUACACCAGCCCCAAGGUCCUACCUCUCAGUUCUCAGAGACAGAGACACUUCAGGCAGAGAAUAUUUGAAUGACACUUCAGCCUCUCACCCACCUCCUACACCAGACAUCGCUUAAGACCUGCUUCCCUUCCCUUUGGUCAGUUGUUUUUACUUUAGUCCUGGCUAUGGCAAACAGCCAAGCAGGUAAACCUGGAUGGCACCUGGUCCAGGUGUGCUGAUAGCUCCUACUUUCUGUCUCAGCUCCUUUCUGCCUCCAUCAGGUAGGAUAAUGUCAGGAACCAGCCCAGUCCUUCUAAAGCAUGUGCUGUGGUUGGGUGUAUAAGGGGUUAAUGGUCCAUGGGCCAAGGCUUGGCCAACGGGAUGGGAGGUAGGGAGGCACAUUCCCCACUCUGUCGCUUGAAAGACAAUUCUGACCGCCUUCUCUCAGCUCCUCAGAGGUCCUUGUGGGCUGGAGCCCACCUCCUCACAGUGGUUUUCAGGUCCGUAAAGCCCGCUGUGCUUGGCUUUGCUCCUUUCCUUCUCAGUCCCUACUUCUUUUCCUUGGGAUCACCUCCUAAAAUAACCAUGUUUAAGCCUCUACUUCAGACU
rnacentral:lncRNA from 1 species